rnacentral:rRNA from 1 species
UACAGAGGGUGCGAGCGUUAAUCGGAAUUACUGGGCGUAAAGCGCACGUAGGCGGCUUUCUAAGUCGGGGGUGAAAUCCUGGAGCUCAACUCCAGAACUGCCUUCGAUACUGGAGAGCUCGAGUCCGGGAGAGGUGAGUGGAACUGCGAGUGUAGAGGUGAAAUUCGUAGAUAUUCGCAAGAACACCAGUGGCGAAGGCGGCCAUCUGGACGGAUACUGACGCUGAGACGCGAAAGCGUGGGGAGCAAACAGG